rnacentral:rRNA from 1 species
UCUUGGUCAUUUAGAGGAAGUAAAAGUCGUAACAAGGUUUCCGUAGGUGAACCUGCGGAAGGAUCAUUAUUGAAAUAAACCUGAUGGGUUGUUGCUGGCUCUCUAGGGAGCAUGUGCACGCCUUGUCAUCUUUAUAUCUCCACCUGUGCACUUUUUGUAGACCCCUCCAGGUCUAUGUUGCUUCAUUUACCCCCAAUGUAUGUUGAUAGAAUGUCGUGGCUAUAUGAAAUCUAUACAACUUUCAGCAACGGAUCUCUUGGCUCUCGCAUCGAUGAAGAACGCAGCGAAAUGCGAUAAGUAAUGUGAAUUGCAGAAUUCAGUGAAUCAUCGAAUCUUUGAACGCACCUUGCGCUCCUUGGUAUUCCGAGGAGCAUGCCUGUUUGAGUGUCAUUAAUAUAUAUCAACCGCUCUUCUUGAGCGGUUUGGAUGUGGGGGUUUGCUGGCCUUUAUGGAAGGUUCAGCUCUCCUGAAAUGCAUUAGCGGAACAACCUGUUCAUUCAUUGGUGUGAUAACUAUCUACGCUAUUGAGUGCGAGGCAGUUCAGCUUCUCAACCGUCUUUGGACAAUUUAUCAUUUUAUGUGACCUCAAAUCAGGUAGGACUACCCGMUGAACUUAAGCAUAUCAAUAAGCGGAGGAA